GGCACAUGCCGUAGUCCUUAUAAGAGAGAGAGGGCUGGCAAUGACCAUGGGCAUAGGCCCAUUCAUAGUCCUUACCAUAAAGAAAGAGCUACUCCUAACAAUGGUCGUGGCCAGAGUGCCAGUCCUUACCAAAGGGAAAGACCUAGCCUAGACAAUGAUAGCAACUAUAGUCGCAAUCCAUAUGGAAGAGAGAGGGCUAAUGCAGAUAAUGGUCAUGGUUAUGCGAUGGAUGGUGCUAGCCUUGAAAAUGGUCAUCGAACAAGCCCAAAUUCCUUGCCAGAAGGGAGGGACAGUCCAAAUGAUGGUGGGUCUGAAAGUCCUAUGCAUGAGAGAUACCACAGUCAUUCACCCCAACAGAUGAAUGAGUAUGUUCAGAGAGUUUGGAAAGAACACCUGUCGGUUUAUUAGUUUUGUCAUGAAGGUGGAACUUAAUUAGCAUUCUUGCUAUUUGAUCUUUUCAUGAAGAAGGCCCAUAAAAUCGGUCACAACUUAUGCUCUUCAUUUUGUGAUGUGGGAUAUGGAAAGUGUU
rnacentral:misc_RNA from 1 species